AUUGAACGCUGGCGGCAUGCUUUACACAUGCAAGUCGAACGGUAACAGGCCGCAAGGUGCUGACGAGUGGCGAACGGGUGAGUAAUGCAUCGGAACGUGCCCAGUCGUGGGGGAUAACUACUCGAAAGAGUAGCUAAUACCGCAUACGAUCUAUGGAUGAAAGCGGGGGACCGUAAGGCCUCGCGCGAUUGGAGCGGCCGAUGUCAGAUUAGGUAGUUGGUGGGGUAAAGGCUCACCAAGCCAACGAUCUGUAGCUGGUCUGAGAGGACGACCAGCCACACUGGGACUGAGACACGGCCCAGACUCCUACGGGAGGCAGCAGUGGGGAAUUUUGGACAAUGGGCGCAAGCCUGAUCCAGCACUGCCGCGUGCAGGAAGAAGGCCUUCGGGUUGUAAACUGCUUUUGUACGGAACGAAACGGCUCUGGUUAAUACCCGGGGCUAAUGACGGUACCGUAAGAAUAAGCACCGGCUAACUACGUG
rnacentral:rRNA from 1 species